CCAGGACAUACACCAGUUCUUCAGUGUGGGAAUAUUAAUAAGAUUAACUGUCCUCAACAAAUAUUUUCCAUAAACUCGUACAUUUACCAAUAUUUGUUUUGUGGCAAAACUCCAGGAGUGGAUAUUUGCUCUGGCGACUCUGGUGGAGGAGUUGAGUACAACGGCAGGAUUUAUGGUGUCCAAGUUUUAGUUGGAAAAUUUCCAUGCAGGAAACCAGCAUUAUUCAUGGAUCUCUGUCAUCCAGACUAUCUGAGCUGGAUUGAAAAAACUAUUGGACCACCUCCAAACCCAGGAUUUGAUGUCCAAAUUGUUCAUUUUGUUUGAUCUACGCAUGAAUAUUAAACCUUAACCUGGUUGAAAAAAAUAAAAAUAAAAAUGAAAGCAGCUAUAGCAUCCGAACA